rnacentral:rRNA from 1 species
CAGUCGCGUUGGUUGGGAAUCAGUCUUGCUUCUGCAUGAUGUACUUCUCAGUAAAUGGGCCAGCAUCAAUUUCGGGCGCCGGAAAAGGAUUUGAGGAAUGUGACAGCUUGCUGUGUUAUAGCCUCUUGUCGUACACGGUGCUUGGGAUUGAGGACUGCAGCACGCCUUUUGGUCGGGGUUCUCCCACGCCCACGUGCUUAGGAUGCUGGCGUAAUGGCUUUAAACGGCCCGUCUUGAAACACGGACCAAGGAGUCUAACAUAUAUGCGAGUGUUU